AGGAGCUUAAGUUAAUACGUCUUAAACCUAGGACCUUCAAAGCCCUCAAUAGGAGUGAAAAUCCCCUAGCUCCUG
rnacentral:tRNA from 1 species